GGAGUGUAGCUCAGUGGGAGAGCGGAUGCCUCGCAUGCACAAGGUCCUGAGUUGAAUUCCCAGUACCUCCA
rnacentral:tRNA from 1 species